rnacentral:rRNA from 1 species
UACAGAGGUCCCGAGCGUUGUUCGGAUUCACUGGGCGUAAAGGGUGCGUAGGUGGCGAGGUAAGUCGGAUGUGAAAGCUCGGAGCUCAACUCCGAAAUGGCAUUGGAAACUACCUUGCUCGAGGGUUGGAGGGGGGACUGGGAAUGCUUGGUGUAGCAGUGAAAUGCGUAGAUAUCAAGCGGAACACCAGUGGCGAAGGCGAGUCCCUGGACAACACCUGACACUGAGGCACGAAAGCUAGGGGAGCAAACAGG